UACGUAGGGCGCAAGCGUUAUCCGGAAUUAUUGGGCGUAAAGAGCUCGUAGGUGGCUUGUCGCGUCUGUCGUGAAAGCCCGGGGCUUAACUCCGGGUCUGCGGUGGAUACGGGCAGGCUAGAGGCAGGUAGGGGAGAAUGGAAUUCCCGGUGUAGCGGUGAAAUGCGCAGAUAUCGGGAGGAACACCGGUGGCGAAGGCGGUUCUCUGGGCCUGUACUGACGCUGAGGAGCGAAAGCGUGGGGAGCGAACAGG
rnacentral:rRNA from 1 species